rnacentral:rRNA from 1 species
GUGGGGAAUCUUCCACAAUGGACGAAAGUCUGAUGGAGCAACGCCGCGUGAGUGAAGAAGGGUUUCGGCUCGUAAAGCUCUGUUGUCGGGGACGAAUGUGCAGUAUUUGAAUAAAGUACUGCAAUGACGGUACCUGACGAGGAAGCCACGGCUAACUACGUGCCAGCAGCCGCGGUAAUACGUAGGUGGCAAGCGUUGUCCGGAAUUAUUGGGCGUAAAGGGAGCGCAGGCGGGAAGGUAAGUCGGUCUUAAAAGUUCGGGGCUCAACCCCGUGAUGGGAUCGAAACUAUCUUUCUUGAGUGCAGGAGAGGAAAGUGGAAUUCCUAGUGUAGCGGUGAAAUGCGUAGAUAUUAGGAGGAACACCAGUGGCGAAGGCGACUUUCUGGACUGUAACUGACGCUGAGGCUCGAAAGCCAGGGGAGCGAACGGGAUUAGAAACCCUGGUAGUCC